CUACGGGUGGCUCCAGUGGGGAAUAUUGGACAAUGGGGGAAACCCUGAUCCAGCAAUGCCGCGUGUGUGAAGAAGGCCUGCGGGUUGUAAAGCACUUUCGGUUGGGAGGACUGCUUCUAGCACUAAUAUUGUUGGAAGUUGACGUUACCUUCAGAAGAAGCACCGGCUAGCUCCGUGCCAGCAGCCGCGGUGAAUACGGAGGGUGCAAGCGUUAAUCGGAAUUACUGGGCGUAAAGCGCGCGUAGGCGGCUAGAUCAGUCGGGUGUGAAAGCCCCGGGCUUAACCUGGGAACUGCAUCCGAUACUGUCUAGCUUGAGUACAGGAGAGGAGAGUGGAAUUCCACAUGUAGCGGUGAAAUGCGUAGAUAUGUGGAGGAACACCAAUGGCGAAGGCAGCUCUCUGGCCUGAUACUGACGCUGAGGUGCGAAAGCGUGGGGAGCAAACAGGAUUAGAUACCCUCGUAGUC
rnacentral:rRNA from 1 species